rnacentral:rRNA from 1 species
GACGUAGGGCGCGAGCGUUGUCCGGAUUUAUUGGGCGUAAAGAGCUCGUAGGCGGCUUGUCGCGUCGACUGUGAAAACCCGCGGCUCAACCGCGGGCCUGCAUUCGAUACGGGCAGGCUAGAGUUCGGUAGGGGAGACUGGAAUUCCUGGUGUAGCGGUGAAAUGCGUAGAGAUCGGCAGGAACACCCAGGGGGAAACCAGCCGGCUGGGGACGUGCUGACGCUCAGGGGCGAAAGCGUGGGGAGCGAACCGG